GUUACGCUAUAUAUUUCAUAAAGACACAACUCUUUUUUCUUUUAUCUCUUUAUUCACGCCCACGUUGUUUGAUCACUGAAACGAAUUUUUCUUCCUUGAUAAAACUUUAAUUAUCUUUAAUUAUCUUUAAUUAUCAUGGAUCACCGAUGACCCCUGUUUCAGUUAAUCUUUCUUAGUAUACAUUAUAUUAGCAUACACUGUACUAUAUUCUCACGCGAAUGAAUAACUUUUAAAUCGCGUAAAUAUCGAAGAAAUUGAAGAAUUGUCGUGCACAAUGACAUAUCUAUUAUUACGACCUAACCUAAAAAUCUGAAAAUCCUUUGUACCAAUCUCUAGAAUUUGAGCUGGCACGAGCUCAAAUUCCACUUGUUGCGACCGAAUCUCCUUCACGAGAUUUCAAUGAUCCGUAAAGAUCUGAUGCAGCUCACGAAACAGCAGUUACGAAAUUAAUGGCCGUGUCCUUGAAUUGGAAUCUCCUUCUUCGCAGUUGUCUCCGGAACGGAGCGAGGGGAGGGAGAAGUUGGAUGCUGGUGAACGUCCUUCGAGGGUCGUGCACUUGGUCGAUGUACCUGCUACAAUGUGGAAACGAGUUUCUGUCCAUCAUGCACAGAUCUUUCACAGAGUUCAAGACCUGAUCGAUUAACGUCACUGAAAACCAAUUCGACAUCUCAACGACUGGCUCAAACCGGCUUCACUUAAGAUCAUCGUCGAGCAGAGACCAACCAACCGAUAUUUCGCCCCGAAUACAUACACACGUGCGGCGAACAAUUGUUCCCAACAAUUUAGCGUGGCACAACGAUCUUCAACAACGAGCCGUUUGGACCGUUACACCGGAUCUCAAGCCAGAUACGUUCCCCUACGGGAAGAAUGGGAUCGUAACAACCUCGCUUUGUGGCAUUGAUUACGCGACGCGAGUGUACCACUACAACGUGAGUUUUAUUUAUGCUUUCAGCUCUUCACUCUUCAGAUAGUAUGCAAUGCGGUUUUUUGCAAUGAUUCAUUCAGAUGCGACGCGACUCAAGAUGUGGGUCACGAUCUAUGAGGUUAGAUCUUUUCCGUAUUAUUAAUUUCUACUUCCUGAAUUUUUAAUAGAAGAAAUUAUUUUUUUUUUUUGGAUUUUCAAGAAAAGAAAAAUUCACGAAAUAAGUUCUAAUAAAGGAAUACGAAGAGAGAAAUCUUACAUAUCGGAUUGUUCAGAAAAUAAUUUCGUUUUUUUUUGGUGAUGAAACACACAUACACAAGAUGGCUGGAUAAACAUUCAACAGUAGCGACACUCGUGUGAAAAAACGAAAUUACUUUCUGAACAAUUCAUAUAUAAAUAUAUAUAUACAUAUGUAUAAAUUCGUGAAAUAUAUUUUAUUAUAUUUAUUCAAAUUAAAAAUGCGAACUUGUGCAUAUAUUCUUGAGAAUAUUAAACUUUUUUUUUUAUUAUGAUGUAAUAAUGUUUAAGCAUUUGACUUUUGACGUUACGAAAACAUUUGUAGAUUAUGAAAUUUGUUUUGAUAUAAUGGUCUCAACCGAACUAUCAGCAAAUUUAAAUAUUACGUCAAUAUGGGCAUAGUAAUUGAUGUAGGAUAAUCAUAAUUAUAAUUAUUAAAUAUACAUUGUAAAUAGUUUCUUUUUUUUUUUCGAUAAAGAUAUUUUGGAAUACGAUAUCCGAUGGUACGGAUGGUACGAUAAAGAAUGAAAAGAUAAUCUAAUGAGUCAAAUAAAACAAAGAAUUAUAGUUUACUUUUCGACCGAUGUUUCAUACAUAUGCAUAUAAAAUUGUAUCACUUGACAUGUAUAUAAAAAGAAAAAAAAUUUGAAA